AUAGGGCGUUUAGUAUUUGGUCGUAGACCCGAAACCAGGUGAUCUACCCUUGGUCAGGUUGAAGUUCAGGUAACACUGAAUGGAGGACCGAACCGACUUACGUUGAAAAGUGAGCGGAUGAACUGAGGGUAGCGGAGAAAUUCCAAUCGAACCUGGAGAUAGCUGGUUCUCUCCGAAAUAGCUUUAGGGCUAGCCUCAAGUGAUGAUUAUUGGAGGUAGAGCACUGUUUGGACGAGGGGCCCCUCUCGGGUUACCGAAUUC
rnacentral:rRNA from 1 species